rnacentral:rRNA from 1 species
UACGUAGGGUGCAAGCGUUAAUCGGAAUUACUGGGCGUAAAGCGUGCGCAGGCGGUUUUGUAAGUCUGUCGUGAAAUCCCCGGGCUCAACCUGGGAACUGCAUCCGAGACUGCAUUGCUAGAGUAUGGGAGAGGGAAGCGGAAUUUCUGGUGUAGCAGUGAAAUGCGUAGAUAUCAGAAGGAACAUCAGUGGCGAAGGCGGCUUCCUGGACCAAUACUGACGAUCAGGUGCGAAAGCGUGGGGAGCAAACAGG